rnacentral:lncRNA from 1 species
AGACCACAAAAAAGACUAUAGAUUGCUUUGUUGUCUCGAAAUCACAAAUUAGUUUUGUAUCAUUUUAGACCGUGAUGCCUUAUUACCAACUAGUGUGACAUAAAGUAAAGAAUUGUUUAACAUUAAUAUACGUUUUUAAUCUCCUCCGUGUCUUAACAUAUUUUAUCAUCCAAUAUAAUCACCAAGCUUUCUAAUUAGCUAAACAAACACAUUAGAAAGCUUAACAUCACCAAGCUUUCUAAUUAGCUAAACAAACACAUUAGAAAGCUAAACAAAC